rnacentral:rRNA from 1 species
UACGUAGGGUGCAAGCGUUAAUCGGAAUUACUGGGCGUAAAGCGUGCGUAGGCGGCUUUGCAAGUCAGAUGUGAAAUCCCCGGGCUUAACCUGGGAACUGCAUUUGUGACUGCAUGGCUAGAGUGCGGCAGAGGGGGAUGGAAUUCCGCGUGUAGCAGUGAAAUGCGUAGAUAUGCGGAGGAACACCGAUGGCGAAGGCAAUCCCCUGGACCUGCACUGACGCUCAUGCACGAAAGCGUGGGGAGCAAACAGG